AGUGGGGUAGAAGAGCUCCAUUCAGUCCAAUAAAGAGGGUUGAGGAGUGGUUUAGAGCUGCCAUCCCAUGGAUUAGGCCAAGCCUUGUGCUUGUUUCACAGUGGAGAAGUCACGCAUGGUGAUGGAGGUUGCCUCUUGAAGAUGAUAAUGUGGGGGAUAAGCCUUGGCCAAUGCAUGGUGUGGGAGCAACUCCGGCCACUGGCUUAGCCCGCUAAUUGGACUGAAGGGAGCUCCCAAUCAUUCCACG
rnacentral:pre_miRNA from 1 species